UUGGAGGGCAAGUCUGGUGCCAGCAGCCGCGGUAAUUCCAGCUCCAAUAGCGUAUAUUAAAGUUGUUGCAGUUAAAAAGCUCGUAGUUGAAUUUCGGGGUUAGUAGGUUGGUUAUGCCUCUGGUAUGUACUGGUCUCACUGAUUCCUCCUUCCUGAAGAAUCUUAAUGCCAUUAAUUUGGUGUUUUGGGGAAUUUGGACUGUUACUUUGAAAAAAUUAGAGUGUUUAAAGCAAGCUAACGCUUGAAUAUAUUAGCAUGGAAUAAUGAAAUAGGACGUUCGAUCCUAUUUUGUUGGUUUCUAGGAUUGACGUAAUGAUUAUAGGGAUAGUUGGGGGCAUUAGUAUUCAAUUGUCAGAGGUGAAAUUCUUGGAUUUAUUGAAGACUAACCACUGCGAAAGCAUUUGCCAAGGAUGUUUUUAUUAAUCAAGAACGAAAGUUAGGGGAUCGAAGACGAUCAGAUACCGUCGUAGUCUUAACCAUAAACUAUGCCGACUAGGGAUCGGAUGAUGUUAAUUUUUUAAUGACUCAUUCGGCGCCUUAUGGGAAACCAAAGUGUUUGGGUUC
rnacentral:rRNA from 1 species